rnacentral:tRNA from 2 species
GGAGCCAUAGUGCAGAGGUCGUCGCGCGCGGUAUCCAAGAUCGCGAGGACGCCGGUUCGAAUCCGGCCGGUUCCG